AGAGUUUGAUCCUGGCUCAGGAUGAACGCUAGCGGCAGGCCUAAUACAUGCAAGUCGAACGGUGGUAGCAAUACCAUAGUGGCGCACGGGUGCGUAACGCGUAACCAACCUACCCACAACUGGGGGAUAGCCCGCCGAAAGGCGGAUUAAUACCGCAUAAGCUCUGAAUCUGGCAUCAGGUUUUUAGUAAAGAUUUAUUGGUUGUGGAUGGGGUUGCGUGCCAUUAGCUAGUUGGUGAGGUAACGGCUCACCAAGGCGACGAUGGCUAGGGGAGCUGAGAGGCUGGUCCCCCACACGGGCACUGAGAUACGGGCCCGACUCCUACGGGAGGCAGCAGUAGGGAAUAUUGGGCAAUGGUCGAGAGACUGACCCAGCCAUGCCGCGUGCAGGAUGAAGGCUUUCUGAGUCGUAAACUGCUUUUAUCAGGGAAGAAUAAGGAUCAUGCGUGGUCUGAUGACGGUACCUGAGGAAUAAGCACCGGCUAACUCCGUGCCAGCAGCCGCGGUAAUACGGAGGGUGCGAGCGUUGUCCGGAUUUAUUGGGUUUAAAGGGUGCGUAGGCGGCCAAAUAAGUCUGGGGUGAAAGCCCGCUGCUCAACAGCGGAACUGCCCUGGAUACUGUAUGGCUUGAGGACAGACGAGGUUGGCGGAAUAGAGGGUGUAGCGGUGAAAUGCAUAGAUACCCUCUAGAACCCCGAUUGCGAAGGCAGCUGACUAGACUGUAUCUGACGCUGAGGCACGAAAGCGUGGGGAGCGAACAGGAUUAGAUACCCUGGUAGUCC
rnacentral:rRNA from 1 species